rnacentral:rRNA from 1 species
GACGAACGCUGGCGGCGUGCUUAACACAUGCAAGUCGAACGGAAAGGCCCUGCUUUUGUGGGGUGCUCGAGUGGCGAACGGGUGAGUAACACGUGAGUAACCUGCCCUUGACUUUGGGAUAACUUCAGGAAACUGGGGCUAAUACCGGAUAGGAGCUCCUGCUGCAUGGUGGGGGUUGGAAAGUUUCGGCGGUUGGGGAUGGACUCGCGGCUUAUCAGCUUGUUGGUGGGGUAGUGGCUUACCAAGGGUUUGACGGGUAGCCGGCCUGAGAGGGUGACCGGCCACAGUGGGACUGGGAUAGGGACCAGGAUGCUACGGGAGGCAACAGUGGGGAAUAUUGCACAAUGGGCGGAAGCCUGAUGCAGGCACGCCGGGUGCGGGAUGACGGGCUUCGGGUUGUAAACCGCUUUCGCCUGUGACGAAGCGUGAGUGACGGUAAUGGGUAAAGAAGCACCGGCUAACUACGUG